rnacentral:rRNA from 1 species
AUUGAACGCUGGCGGCAUGCUUUACACAUGCAAGUCGAACGGUAACAGGCCGCAAGGUGCUGACGAGUGGCGCACGGGUGAGUAAUGCAUCGGAACGUGCCCAGUCGUGGGGGAUAACUACUCGAAAGAGUAGCUAAUACCGCAUACGAUCUAUGGAUGAAAGCGGGGGACCGUAAGGCCUCGCGCGAUUGGAGCGGCCGAUGCCAGAUUAGGUAGUUGGUGGGGUAAAGGCUCACCAAGCCAACGAUCUGUAGCUGGUCUGAGAGGACGACCAGCCACACUGGGACUGAGACACGGCCCAGACUCCUACGGGAGGCAGCAGUGGGGAAUUUUGGACAAUGGGCGCAAGCCUGAUCCAGCAAUGCCGCGUGCAGGAAGAAGGCCUUCGGGUUGUAAACUGCUUUUGUACGGAACGAAACGGCUCUGGUUAAUACCCGGAGCUAAUGACGGUACCGUAAGAAUAAGCACCGGCUAACUACGUG